GAUGAAGAACGUAGCGAAAUGCGAUAAGUAGUGUGAAUUGCAGAAUUCAGUGAAUCAUCGAAUCUUUGAACGCACAUUGCGCCCCUUGGUAUCCCGAGGGGCAUGCCUGUUCGAGCGUCAUUUCACCACUCAAGCCUGGCUUGGUGUUGGGCGACGUCCUCUUUGGGGACGCGCCUCGAAACGCUCGGCGGCGUGGCACCGGCUUUAAGCGUAGCAGAAUCUUUCGCUUUGGAAGUCGGGGCCCCGUCUGCCGGAAGACCUGCUCGCAAGGUUGACCUCGGAUCAGGCAGGGAUACCCGCUGAACUUAAGCAUAUCAAAAGCGGAGGA
rnacentral:misc_RNA from 1 species